GAUGUUGCAAGCCAAAUUUUAAAUAGAAGUAAGUUCUUAAGAAACUUAGAGAACAAGAAUACUUCAUCCACUUCAUAUUUGAUCAAUCACUAAGCAUGAGAAAGACUAAGACUAUAUCACACACAUGCCUAGUCUAAAACAUUCAAUAAAAAUGCCUCAUCUACUAAACAUAUUAGGCAUCACAAAAUUAUCAAACCAAAACUAAAAAUUAAGGAAUUCAAGCUUUGAUCUAACAAAUUUAAUAUAUUUGUCUUUGCUUAUUAAAAAAAAUGAAUAGUUACGAUUUCAAACUGUUACUAUUUUUAUUAUUAUUUUUAAUUGAAAUGCCACAUUAUUAGACUUUAUCUUCUUGGGUCGAGAAUCUGAACCACCCAUGAGAACAAUAUUUGAAUUCACCUGACAAGUUUACACGAGACAUGAAUAUCAUAAUAAGAACCAAAACCAAAUGUUAAUGUGUCAACCAAAACUACAACUGACAAGCUUGAUAAAAAGGCCACACCCAUCCGACACUAAUGCAGCUUGAUACCCACCAUUCGACCCCUACCCCACCAUACCUGAACUAUACAAAAACAUUAGCACCCUUGUUUGUGUUCCAUUUUUCCAAAUCUGAGAGUCACCGGCCACGUCGGUGCACUAUCGUGUGUGGAGAGGCAUAACUUUGAUAGCAACAGAAUGAAACUUGGAUCUUGAUUCAUGUGGGGUUCUCAUAUCUAAACUAUUAUGGUGGUGGUGAUUUGUCAUGUGUGAGGAGGCAAAACUCUGAUAAAGGUGCAAAGGAACUCAAAUCUUGACGUGGUUUUCUUAGAUUUGGAUUCGUGUGGAUCUUAGACUGAACUCAAAGGGGUUGGGUGGAAGAAGUUCAUGAGGAUCUGAGUUAACAUUGAUGUUAAGGUUCUGCUUGUCAAGGAGAAGCAAGUUUGAAAAGCUAGAGGUUUAUUUCAGGGGAAAUUGAUGAUGAUGGAGUGCGUCAAUGUGGUGUUGAGGUUCACGCAGACUUGUAGAGGAACGGGAAUUAAUGGUGGAAGAUGUUGAAAAAUUAUAUUUAUUUUAUUUUGUUAAUUUUAAAAUAAUAAUGCAUA
rnacentral:lncRNA from 1 species